AGAGUCCAGCAAGGAGGGCUGGGAUUCACACUGAGCACGUGUGUCUGCCCAGGCUUGGGAUGUUUUCUGGGAUGGACUACCUGAAAUUCAUCAUGGAAGGAGGCAGAGCAUCCCUGCCACUGGUGUCUGAUCUUCCCUGGGGACUUCAGUCCCUGGCAGUAGCAAUCUUUGCAUGUGCACUCAGAGAGCUGCCACAAUAUGUGGCAAAGAUCAAUG
ensembl:lincRNA Gm44019 predicted gene, 44019